AGAAUCAACGCUGGCGGCGUGCCUAACACAUGCAAGUCGAACGAGAAAGUGGAGCAAUCCAUGAGUAAAGUGGCGCACGGGUGAGUAACACGUGACUAACCUACCCUUGAGUGGGGGAUAACCUAGGGAAACCUGGGCUAAUACCGCAUAAUACCUUCGGGUCAAAGGAGCAAUUCGCUUAAGGAGGGGUCGCGGCCGAUUAGUUAGUUGGCGGGGUAAUGGCCCACCAAGACUGUGAUCGGUAUCCGGCCUGAGAGGGCGCACGGACACACUGGAACUGAAACACGGUCCAGACUCCUACGGGAGGCAGCAGUGGGGAAUUUUGCGCAAUGGGGAAACCCUGACGCAGCAACGCCGCGUGGAGGAUGAAGCCCCUUGGGGCGUAAACUCCUUUCGAUCGGGACGAUAAUGACGGUACCGGAAGAAGAAGCCCCGGCUAACUUCGCGCCAGCAGCCGC
rnacentral:rRNA from 1 species